GACGAACGCUGGCGGCGUGCUUAACACAUGCAAGUCGAACGGGCCUGUCUUCUUUUUUGGGGGUGGGUUGAGUGGCGAACGGGUGAGUAUCACGUGAGUAACCUGCCCUUCGGUCCUGGAUAACCGCUUGAAAGGGCGGCUAAUACGGGGUGGUCCGGUUGGUCCGCAUGGGCUGGUCGGGAUAGAUUCACUGUUUUUGGUGUUUCGGCGGGGGAUGGGCUCGCGGCCUAUCAGCUUGUUGGUGGGGUGAUGGCCUACCAAGGCGGUGACGGGUAGCCGGUCUGAGAGGGUGGGCGGCCACACUGGGACUGAGAUACGGCCCAGACUCCUGCGGGAGGCAGCAGUGGGGGGUAUUGCACAAUGGGCGGAAGCCUGAUGCAGCGACGUCGCGUGAGGGAUGGAGGCCUUCGGGUUGUGAACCUCUGUUUCCGGUGGUGAAGGCCCUGUCCGUGUGGUGGGGUUGACGGUAGCCGGGGAUGAAGCGCCGGCUAACUACGUG
rnacentral:rRNA from 1 species